rnacentral:tRNA from 1 species
GGAGACGUGCUGGAGUGGCCUAACAGGCGCGCCUGGAAAGCGCGUAGGGGCGCAAGCCCCUCGUGGGUUCGAAUCCCACCGUCUCCGCCA